rnacentral:rRNA from 1 species
GAUGAACGCUGGCGGCGUGCCUAAUACAUGCAAGUCGAGCGAACGGACGAGAAGCUUGCUUCUCUGAUGUUAGCGGCGGACGGGUGAGUAACACGUGGAUAACCUACCUAUAAGACUGGGAUAACUUCGGGAAACCGGAGCUAAUACCGGAUGAUAUUUUGAACCGCAUGGUUCAAAAGUGAAAGACGGUCUUGCUGUCACUUAUAGAUGGAUCCGCGCUGCAUUAGCUAGUUGGUAAGGUAACGGCUUACCAAGGCAACGAUGCAUAGCCGACCUGAGAGGGUGAUCGGCCACACUGGAACUGAGACACGGUCCAGACUCCUACGGGAGGCAGCAGUAGGGAAUCUUGCGCAAUGGGCGAAAGCCUGACGGAGCAACGCCGCGUGAGUGAUGAAGGUCUUCGGAUCGUAAAACUCUGUUAUUAGGGAAGAACAUAUGUGUAAGUAACUGUGCACAUCUUGACGGUCCCUAAUCAGAAAGCCACGGCUAACUACGUG